UACAGAGGUCUCAAGCGUUGUUCGGAUUCAUUGGGCGUAAAGAGCGCGUAGGCGGUCCGAUAAGUCGGCUGUGAAAGUCAGGGGCUCAACCCUUGGAAGCCGGCCGAUACUGUCGGACUAGAGUCCGGAAGAGGCGAGUGGAAUUCCCGGUGUAGCGGUGAAAUGCGCAGAUAUCGGGAGGAACACCAAUGGCGAAGGCAGCUCGCUGGGACGGUACUGACGCUGAGGCGCGAAAGCGUGGGGAGCAAACAGG
rnacentral:rRNA from 1 species